rnacentral:rRNA from 1 species
UACGUAGGGCGCGAGCGUUGUCCGGAUUCAUUGGGCGUAAAGAGCUCGUAGGCGGCUUGUUGCGUCUGCUGUGAAAUCCCGGGGCUUAACCCCGGGCGUGCAGUGGAUACGGGCAGGCUGGAGGCAGGCAGGGGAGAAUGGAAUUCCCGGUGUAGCGGUGAAAUGCGCAGAUAUCGGGAGGAACACCGGUGGCGAAGGCGGUUCGCUGGGCCUGUUCUGACGCUGAGGAGCGAAAGCGUGGGGAGCGAACAGG